rnacentral:lncRNA from 1 species
AACAAAAGAAAACAAUUCAGGGUCCUGUUUAGGGAUAAUUUUAUUUGAUAAAAAAAAAAAAAUGGAAAAAGUUACUGUACAGCUUCUCAUCUCACUAUUGAACAUCUGAACUUCCCCUUGGGGUAGCAGCGUCUGCCCCAGGGUGGGAUAAUACAUAAUGAGAGAGAAGAGAGAGAAAUCAAAGAGAAAAGUGAAAAAAAAAAUAUUAUUAAAAAAUACCCUUUUUUUCAAGAGAAGGAUAAAAAAAAAAUCAACCUUGAAAUUCAUAUGCAUAUGUGAAAUUAAUUAAAAUGAAAUUGUUAAUUCAUUAUGUAAAUUAACAGCCCCCCCCCCCCCAUUUCCCACCACCCUACCCCUUUAUCCCUGCCCUUCCCCGCCGCAACUGCUGUCACAUCCACCUCCCCCAUCAAUUUCCCAACCCUUUCUUCCCCGCCACAAACACACCACUAUUCUUCUCCUCCUUAUUCCAUACGAUUGAUAAUUGUUACAGAACUAAUUAAUACUGCUAAUUAAACUGUCCCCUAUUGAGUGCUACCAUCACCAAACCUUUCAAAUUGUCCACAUGCUGGUCUGCACUACUCUACAUCCACAUGACCCCCAACUGGCCACAGGAGCCACAUGAUCCCUAUCUCCACCUCCAUGUCACAUCUGGACCCUCCAUGAUAUGAACCCAGUGUUGCUAGGGGUACCCCUGUGAGUGGCCCUCUCAUUACAUAAAACAAAGACUGCUGCUUGUAUCCUGACCCCCACUCACCACUAUCAAUAACUUAAGAGGCAGGUUUUCAAUAUGUGACCCCAGAUUCUAGGAACCAGAAUGUAGGGCCUAAGAGAUAGGUGCUAUGGUUACAUUGCAUGUGUGGUGUGACCCCAUAAUAUUAAAGGCCAGUGUGAAAUAGCGAACUGGGUGUUAAUGAUCCCAACAUAGCCCAUUAAUGGCAUGGGAGGGGGGGAUCCCUUUGUGAAUGACCCUUUUAUUUCAUUAAACAAAGACCAUCACUAAUGUAAGAGGCAAGUUUUCAAUAUGGAACCAGAGUGCAGGGCCCUAAGAGAUAGGUGAUAUAAUAUUAAAGGCAACUGUGGAUAGCCCCUAGGAAAUAGGGAACUGGGUGUUAGUGAUUCUGACAUAGUCCAGUAAUUGGAUGGCUCCCUUGUGAGCGACACUUGUUUCAUAAAAUAAAGACCAUUGCUUGUAGCCUCUCCUUGUCAGCAAUGAUAGAAGGGAAGUGAACCCUGGAACACAGUAGCCCAAGCGGAGGGACUGGCCAAUGUAGGCAGCCUGAGGAAACUGAGGGGUUAGAAGUAAUCUUCUGCUGUGAUGGUUGGAAACGAAUCCCUACAGAAUUUAGGAAGCCAGAGUAUGUGUGAGCAUGGAUGGCUAUAUGCGCACAUUUAUGUCUGAGUGUGCGGUUGGGUGUGUCUUCUUCUGCCCCAACAAGAUGCAGGGGCCAGUGUGGUUAGCCCUGCAGCAGGUGAGUCAGUCUGCAAGAUAACAAAACAUGUGUCCAGCCACUAUGAUACAAAACAACCAGAACACAAAAACCUGACCCUCACGACUAGUGGUUCUCAACUGGGGGGGGCCAAUAUAAGAUUUUUGGGGGUUCGUGCAAUAGCAUUUUAAGGGCUCUUGAAAACAUUUUGCUUUAGAUGUAUUGCAAGAAACAGCUGAGUUUCUUUCUCAAAUAGUUUGACAGGGUCCAACACACACAAGUAAACGUGUGGAAAGCAAAAUAGGAAUUUUCAAAAGAAGUUCCCAGAAAACUAGUUUUUAAGCAUGGAAUGGCACCCGGGGUCCACCUGAAUAAGAUAGUAACCAAAGGGGUCCAUAGAUAAAAAAUGGUUGAGAACCACAUCUUACAUAGUUCAACCUACACAUGUUGAGGUGUGGAAAGCAAAAUAGGAAUUUUGAAAGAAGUUUCCAGAAAACUAGUUUUUAAGAAUGGAAUAGCUAUCAGGGUCCACCUGAAUAAGAUAGUAAUCAAAGGGGCCCAUAGAUAAAAAAAAGUGGUUGAGAACCCCUGCUCAUGACAAAUGGCGAAAAUGAUAUGAUUAGCAGACCCGAGGGACUUAGGCUAGAAGUCUGAGAGUCAGAACACUGUUACCAUGACAACAGGAGACACACCGGUUGCUGUUACUGUGAAAAAUGGUUCAAUGGAAAAGAACGCGCUUGGGUUGCCAUGCCGACAGGCCACAAAAGAUGAUGGGAUGGUUAGGGUUACUAUGACGAGAGGCCACGUAGCAACCAGUAACAGAGCAAUGACAACACAGUUACCAUGGCAACAGAACAGAUUUGGAAAAAAAUUUUCAAACAAAUCUGUAAGGAAAUUACUUCAGACAUGUAUGUGUAUGUAUAUAUAUAUAUAUAUAUAUAUAUAUAUAUAUA